rnacentral:rRNA from 16 species
ACAGGUUAGUUUUACCCUACUGAUGCACGGUCGCACGCGAUCGAAACCGCCUUUACGGCGGCAGUCGUUACGAUAGUAAUCCUGCCCAGUACGAGAGGAACGGCAGGUUCGGACAUUUGGUUCGGCACUCGCCCGAGCGGGCGUUGGUGCGAGGCUACCAUCCGUUGGAUUACGCCUGAACGCCUCUAAGGCCGUAUCCACUCUGGAGAAAACA